GCAGCACCUUACAUUAAAGUGACCAUGUUACAACAAUUAAGUAUUGUGUAAUACAAAUAAACAACAUCUACUUAAUGUAAUUAUUUUAUGAGCUACUUGUAAAUGCACAUUUUUGUUGUAGUUAGCCUAAUUAUAAUAACGUAUAAUGUAAACGUUACCAAACUCUCUAACCAUAAACAGUACAAGCACGCUGCCUUGCUUUAAAUGCACAAGGUAAGUAGCCUACAACUUUUAUAAAAGAGGCAUCAUGCAUAGCGUAAGUAGAGCUGAGAAAUCCAGAAGCAAACAGGUUGCAACGAGGUUUGUCUGCACAAAUCUUAAAGCAAAGAGAUGACGAGGUUUGCUUGAAUGCUGCAUACUGAAGUUUAACAUUGCUAAUGUGCAACAAAUGUUCGGCCCAUUUGACAGAGGCUCAGACUGGGGGCUAGAUGAGGUUGAGGGACGGAUAAAGGAAGAAUUAUCCCCCGUUUAGCAUUAAAAUUCAUUUAGAUAAAAUUGCCACAAACACUUAAAUGGGAAGAUUAGUUCCCCCUCACGCCUUAUUUCACUCACUCAAUGGCUCCGUCAAGAGCGCUCGAAACGGCAUUAUCCAGACGACGGCUGUUUUCAGCUACCCGCGAAAACUGGGCGCUUAAAUGACGCUAAAACAGACACAACUCAUCGAAAUGUGUGUUUACGGUGGUCUCGAUACGACCAAUAAAGGGAAUGUUGCAUUUUCCUGAGGGAAUGCUUAAAAGUUACCCGUCUUGUAGCUUAAGAGUGCCAGUUUAAACUACACUCCCAUAAUAAAUCAAUAAGUUCCCUUUCACAAAUCCGUCCCUCAGUUUUCUAUCGCUAUUGUGUUUUUAUUACCGUCUCUCUCCUGAAUGUUUUCCUCUCAAGCGACGCGGGACACAGGCGACGGUUUAAUGACGCUGCUUCAGCUCCUCAGAUUUGAAUUCCUCAACCGUUCGCCACUCGCUGCUCUGGAGACAGGCGGAGAUAAAUCCCAUGUUUGACUGCCAUCUUUAGGGGAUCUGGAAAACUGUCCUUAAGGGAGCAUGUUUAUAUGUAAUUCAAAGACAUAUAAUGACGACGCCUUUUCCAUCUGUUGUUUAAGAAGAAAGAAGAAAGCUUUUAUCUGCCUUUGACCACAUACUGAACUCUCUGGUGGGCUGCUAGAGAGAAGAUUGGAGAGAUGAGAUGGAGUGUCCGAAACUGCACCAUGGCCAUUUUGGAUGUCAUCUGUUUCCUUGGUGACUUCGCCCACCCCUGAAAGCCCCUGGGCUCCAGGAUUGUUGGAGAGAAACGCGCUAUUUUCUGCACUAUCAUCUAUCACUGUCACCACGUAAUGAUUCCCCUCGCAGCUCCUUAUUGAUGUUUGUAAUUGCAUUAUCUCAUAAGGGGGUGAUCAAUGAAAGCGGGCUAUGCAUUCUGGGGUUAGAGUAUGCAGGAUUGCUUUCUUGUCCGUUCAAUUUAAUAAGCGCUUAUUAAACAGCUUCGUACUCCACAUAUUUUUUUUUAAGAAAUGACACAGUAAAUAUAAUUUGUAAAAACCUUGUGAAACCCAAAGCACACCAAAUUCCAGUUUAGUAACAGCGUCUUUUGACAGAUUUUUUACGUUUUAUUUUUGUGGCGACACUUUGCGUGUCUAAACAGCACAAAUUAAGUUAUUAACGCAUGACGCAGAUGAGGCUCUUGUAAGGGUUGGAAAAGACUAUUGAUUGGACUUAACGCAAUUAUAUUUACUUGUUAUUGUGCCAAUAGCCCAGAGCAACAUUUUCAAAACACCAUGUGGCAUCUUAAUUUUUUUUAUACAUUGCACUGGUUUUAGACAUUGAGACCAAAAUGAAGCACGCAAAUAAAGUCAUAAGAUCAUGUUUCAGGGUCCAGAGGGUUGGUGAGCAAAUGCGUCCUUUCCAUUUAGCACGGACAAUGCAGCAUGUGUAGCACACAACGAAACUGAUUAACCGAGUGUAUUGUGUGCCUAUAUUUAUAAAAACUGAAGUAAGACGAGGAUACAAUUUGUCAUACAAUUAUUUUAAUGGCAAAAGCAGCAUUUCUUUGUCGUAAA